AUGAACGCUGGCGGCGUGCCUAAUACAUGCAAGUCGAGCGAACAGACGAGGAGCUUGCUCCUCUGACGUUAGCGGCGGACGGGUGAGUAACACGUGGAUAACCUACCUAUAAGACUGGGAUAACUUCGGGAAACCGGAGCUAAUACCGGAUAACAUGUUGAACCGCAUGGUUCAACAGUGAAAGACGGUCUUGCUGUCACUUAUAGAUGGAUCCGCGCCGCAUUAGCUAGUUGGUAAGGUAACGGCUUACCAAGGCAACGAUGCGUAGCCGACCUGAGAGGGUGAUCGGCCACACUGGAACUGAGACACGGUCCAGACUCCUACGGGAGGCAGCAGUAGGGAAUCUUCCGCAAUGGGCGAAAUCCUGACGGAGCAACGCCGCGUGAGUGAAGAAGGUCUUCGGAUCGUAAAACUCUGUUAUUAGGGAAGAACAAAUGUGUAAGUAACUAUGCACGUCUUGACGGUACCUAAUCAGAAAGCCACGGCUAACUACGUG
rnacentral:rRNA from 1 species